AACGAGGCCGACCUGCGGCUGAGUUACCUGCGGAAGGAUCAUUAAUAAAUGUUACUUCGGUAACUUAAUUAAUCCCUAACACCUGUGCAUCUUGUCGCUUCGGCGUCAUUUUAUAAACAUCAGUGUAAUGAAUGUAACGUAUUAUAACAAAUACAACUUUUAACAACGGAUCU
rnacentral:misc_RNA from 1 species